rnacentral:rRNA from 1 species
CGCACGGUCAGCAAUGGCAGUGGCGGACGGGUGAGUAACACGUAGGAAUCUAUCCUGGGUGGGGGACAACAGCGGGAAACUGCUGCUAAUACCGCAUGAUACCUGAGGGUCAAAGGCGCAAGUCGCCUUGGGAGGAGCCUGCGUCUGAUUAGCUUGUUGGUGAGGUAAAGGCUCACCAAGGCGACGAUCAGUAGCUGGUCUGAGAGGAUGAUCAGCCACAUUGGGACUGAGACACGGCCCAA